AGAGUUUGAUCCUGGCUCAGGAUGAACGCUGGCGGCGUGCCUAAUACAUGCAAGUCGAACGAAACUUCUUUAUCACCGAGUGCUUGCACUCACCGAUAAAGAGUUGAGUGGCGAACGGGUGAGUAACACGUGGGCAACCUGCCCAAAAGAGGGGGAUAACACUUGGAAACAGGUGCUAAUACCGCAUAACCAUAGUUACCGCAUGGUAACUAUGUAAAAGGUGGCUAUGCUACCGCUUUUGGAUGGGCCCGCGGCGCAUUAGCUAGUUGGUGGGGUAAAGGCUUACCAAGGCAAUGAUGCGUAGCCGAACUGAGAGGUUGAUCGGCCACAUUGGGACUGAGACACGGCCCAAACUCCUACGGGAGGCAGCAGUAGGGAAUCUUCCACAAUGGGCGAAAGCCUGAUGGAGCAACGCCGCGUGGGUGAAGAAGGUCUUCGGAUCGUAAAACCCUGUUGUUAGAGAAGAAAGUGCGUGAGAGUAACUGUUCACGUUUCGACGGUAUCUAACCAGAAAGCCACGGCUAACUACGUGCCAGCAGCCGCGGUAAUACGUAGGUGGCAAGCGUUAUCCGGAUUUAUUGGGCGUAAAGGGAACGCAGGCGGUCUUUUAAGUCUGAUGUGAAAGCCUUCGGCUUAACCGGAGUAGUGCAUUGGAAACUGGGAGACUUGAGUGCAGAAGAGGAGAGUGGAACUCCAUGUGUAGCGGUGAAAUGCGUAGAUACAUGGAAGAACACCAGUGGCGAAAGCGGCUCUCUGGUCUGUAACUGACGCUGAGGUUCGAAAGCGUGGGUAGCAAACAGGAUUAGAUACCCUGGUAGUCCACGCCGUAAACGAUGAAUGCUAAGUGUUGGAGGGUUUCCGCCCUUCAGUGCUGCAGCUAACGCAAUAAGCAUUCCGCCUGGGGAGUACGACCGCAAGGUUGAAACUCAAAGGAAUUGACGG
rnacentral:rRNA from 1 species